rfam:Gossypium hirsutum cultivar TM-1 unplaced genomic scaffold scaffold769.1, whole genome shotgun sequence
AGUUAAAAUUUUUAUCCAUUUUUAUGGUUAAAAACUGACAUGGCUGAUGAAAUAAUUAGGAAGUUGUUAUACGUGGAGUGCCACGCGUACAUCAGGUCAACAUACAACGGCCAAUUUUUAACAAUAGAAUAAGAUGAAAUUUUUAACU